GACGAACGCUGGCGGCGUGCCUAAUACAUGCAAGUCGAACGCAGUGGGGACGGGUGAGUAACACGUGGGUAACCUCCCAUCAGAGGGGAUAACACUUGGAAACAGGUGCUAAACCGAUACUGAUGGAUGAACCAGCGGUGCAUUAGCUAGUGGGUGAGGUAACGGCUCACCAAGGCCACGAUGCAUAGCCGACCUGAGAGGGUGCUCGGCCACAGUGGGACUGAGAACCGGCCCAGACACCUACGGGAGGCAGCAGUAGGGAAGCUACGGCAAUGGACGAAAGUCUGACCGAGCAACGACGCGUGAGCGAAGAAGGUUUUCGGAUCGUAAAACUCUGUAGUGAGGGAAGCGGUAGCCAACCCGAAAGCAACGGCUAACUACGAGCCAGCAGCCGCGGUAAUUC
rnacentral:rRNA from 1 species